UGAAAUCAUACGAUAUAUCUAUGUCACAUGAGCUCACUUUUAUGUGAAAGUUUAUCUGCCUAUUGUAUAUGAUGAGAUGUGCAUAUUCGGUAAAGGGAUGGUAUGCCCGAAGGAAGAGUGAAAUAAAAAUACGAACAACUAUGUUAUAAUUUGAUUGUUAUCUGUUGACACUGCUUAAAACUUACUAAGCAUUGUAAUGCUUACUCCGUUUACUCUGUUUUCUCUGUUUUAUAGAUCUCAUUGCGAAGCUACAGGCUCGGGGAUCGUCAGCAACUAGUC
rnacentral:lncRNA from 1 species